UGGGGAAUAUUGCACAAUGGGCGCAAGCCUGAUGCAGCCAUGCCGCGUGUGUGAAGAAGGCCUUCGGGUUGUAAAGCACUUUCAGCGAGGAGGAAGGUGGUGAGCUUAAUACGCUCAUCAAUUGACGUUACUCGCAGAAGAAGCACCGGCUAACUCCGUGCCAGCAGCCGCGGUAAUACGGAGGGUGCAAGCGUUAAUCGGAAUUACUGGGCGUAAAGCGCACGCAGGCGGUUUGUUAAGUCAGAUGUGAAAUCCCCCGGGCUCAACCUGGGAACUGCAUUUGAAACUGGCAAGCUAGAGUCUCGUAGAGGGGGGUAGAAUUCCAGGUGUAGCGGCGAAAUGCGUAGAGAUCUGGAGGAAUACCGGUGGCGAAGGCGGCCCCCUGGACGAAGACUGACGCUCAGGUGCGAAAGCGUGGGGAGCAAAACAGGAUUAGAUACCCUGGUAGUCCACGCUGUAAACGAUGUCGAUUUGGAGGUUGUGCCCUUGAGGCGUGGCUUCCGGAGCUAACGCGUUAAAUCGACCGCCUGGGGAGUACGGCCGCAAGGUU
rnacentral:rRNA from 1 species